AAAACAAUUUCAACUCAUUUUCUUCAUUCUUUAUAGAUGUAUUCAGAAUACUAGCUUAUGGUUACAAAAGUUGUAUACAUCUACUUUGAUGUUCUAUCCCAUUCUAAAAUUUUGGUCACGAUCGCUCAACGCACCGGAGAUUACAUUUCUCUUGCUACACUUACAGACUAUUAUAAGAGUUUAUAAAAUCUGUAUGGUUAUUUCACGCAGUAAUACAUUCACCGGAGACUUGGAAUGAGGUUGCAUUCAUAGAUCCUAUGUAAAGAUACUCUAGGUUUAUGGUAGAAAACAAUUCAUUCGAUUUGGUUGACCUGGGAAUUGAGGUAUCAAUUUAAGAUUUUGCAGUACUGUUGUUCUAGAUUAUGGCAACAUGGAUACUGGAGAAUCCAAGUCAGGUAUGUUAAGGCUAAGCUCUUCUUUCAUUUGGCAUGAUUUCGUCAUUAUCCAAGUUGAUAACGAAGUAUAAAGAAAAAUUCAUAUUCCGGAAUUUGCAUAUAUUUUGCUAGUCUCGCAAGUUACAUAUAUUUUUCUUGUUUUGUAAAUUACCAUAUUCUCCUUAUGGGGAAUUCAUAUUCAGUUGAGUAUUUCCUUCUUCUAGUCAAAAGAGCAGAGAGUUUAUAUAUAUACAGUAUUAAAAGUAUUUUCAUUACCAUCAAGCUGUAAUCGAUGGGCAGGCCCCUAUUGGAAAACCUUUGAUCAGAUGGUAAGUUAUAUACCGAGCCUACUGUGGCCGAGCACUUAUGAGCGAGCCCAGUUGGUCAAGAUACAAAGCCUAGUAUGGCCGAGCACCUAUGAGCGAGCCUACUAUGGCAGAGCAGUUAUAUAUAUACCAAGCCUACUGUGGCCGAGCGCUUAUGAGUGAGACCAGUUGGUCGAGAUACAGAGCCUAGUAUGGCCGAGCGCCUAUGAGCGAGCCUACUAUGGCAGAGCCGUUAUAUAUAUAUACUGAGUCUACUAUGGUUGUGCUCUUAUGAGCGAGCCUAGUUGGUCGAGAUACAGAGCCUAGUAUGACCGAGCGCCUAUGAGCAAGCCUACUAUGACAGAGCUGUCAUAUAUAUAUAUCGAGCCUUAUAGGGCCAGACAGCCAUUUUACUUACUAUAUUGAGAGAGUUGAGUCAGUAUCAGCAGGUAAGCAUAUCUUCAAAUUAUCUUUAACUUCUAACUACAUGUAGUUAUAUUAUCAGUUCAGUUUCAGCUCUCAGUAUAUUGCCUUACAUACUCGGUACAUUAUUUCGUACUGACAUCCCUUUUUCCUGGGGACGCUGCGUUUCAUGCCCGUAGGUCCAGACAGACAGGUUGAGAGCCAUCCAAGUAGGCUAUCAGCUCAGGAGAAGAUGUUGGGGCGCUCCAUUUGCUUCGGAGUUGCGUGUUUGGUUAGUAUGAUUUAGAUAUGUAUUGCUUGGUAUGGCGGGACUCUGUCCCAACCUUUAUGAUAUUUAUGUACUCUUAGAGGCUUGUAGACAUAUGUCGUGUACGUGAAAGAUUGUACGGCCUUGUCGACCUAUGUUUUAAAUUUAUAAAUGAUCAUGUAGGCGUAUUAGGCCCCCAUGUCACAUGUAAAUGAUGAUGUAAUAAGAAAGAUACGUUACGUUGGUACUCGGUUGAAUAAGGUACCGGGUGCCCGUCACGGUCUUUCAGUUUGGGUCGUGACAGUGCAGUCCCGUAGAUCCAAUAUAAAUGUGCAGGGGGAUCUACCAGAAUACCAAUCCGU
rnacentral:lncRNA from 1 species